rnacentral:rRNA from 1 species
GUAGGGAAUAUUGGGCAAUGGUCGGAAGACUGACCCAGCCAUGCCGCGUGCAGGAAGACGGCCCUCUGGGUUGUAAACUGCUUUUAUCUGGGAAGAAAAAGGCCAUGCGUGGCAAAUUGCCGGUACCAGAUGAAUAAGCACCGGCUAACUCCGUGCCAGCAGCCGCGGUAAUACGGAGGGUGCGAGCGUUGUCCGGAUUUAUUGGGUUUAAAGGGUGCGUAGGCGGCUGAUUAAGGCAGCGGUGAAAGACUUCGGCUUAACCGGGGCAGUGCCGUUGAUACUGGUUGGCUUGAGUGUCGGAGGGGUACAUGGAAUUGAUGGUGUAGCGGUGAAAUGCAUAGAUACCAUCAGGAACACCGAUAGCGAAGGCAUUGUACUGGCCGACAACUGACGCUGAUGCACGAAAGUGUGGGGAUCGAACAGGAUUAGAUACCCUGGUAGUCC